rnacentral:rRNA from 1 species
GUCUCUAUGAAGUUAUAUAUAGUCUAGCCUGCCCACUGAUUUUUUAAAGGCCGCAGUACCCUGACUGUGCAAAGGUAGCAUAAUAAUUAGUUUUUUAAUUGAAAGCUUGAAUGAAUGGCUGGACGAAGAAUAAUCUUUCUUUAAUUUUAAUUUAAAAAUUUACUUUUAAGUGAAAAGGCUUAAAUGAGUUUAAAAGACGAUAAGACCCUAUAAAACUUUAUAAAAUAAAAUAUUUACUUUAAUUAUUAAGUUUAAAUCUUUUAAAUAUUUAAUUUUAUUAUGUUGGGGUAACAAGAAUAAAUAAUUUUCAUUAAACUGUUCUUUAAAAAAACAAAAAUAUUUGAAUUAAUUUUGAUGAUCCUUUUUUAAGAAUAACAGAUUAAGUUACUUUAGGGAUAACAGCGUAAUUUUUUUAAAGAGUUCUUAUCGAAAAAAAAGUUUACGACCUCGAUGUUGAAUUAAAAUUUCUUUAUAGGUGUAGAAGCUAUAAAAGUAAGUCUGUUCGACUUUUAAAAUUUU